UAAGGAAUAUUGGUCAAUGGACGCAAGUCUGAACCAGCCAUGCCGCGUGAAGGAUGAAGGUCCUCUGGAUUGUAAACUUCUUUUAUCUGGGACGAAAACGGGAUUUUUAUCUCAAUUGACGGUACCAGAGGAAUAAGCACCGGCUAACUCCGUGCCAGCAGCCGCGGUAAUACGGAGGGUGCGAGCGUUAUCCGGAUCUACUGGGGUUAAAGGGUGCGUAGGUGGGCUUAUAAGUCAGUGGUGAAAUCUCCGAGCUUAACUUGGAAACUGCAGUGGAUACUAUAGGUCUUGAAUUAUCGGGAGGUGAGCGGAAUAUGUCAUGUAGCGGUGAAAUGCUUAGAUAUGACAUAGAACACCAAUUGCGAAGGCAGCUUACUACAUAUAAAUUGACGCUGAGGCACGAAAGCGUGGGGAUCAAACA
rnacentral:rRNA from 1 species